rnacentral:rRNA from 1 species
UACGUAGGGUGCAAGCGUUAAUCGGAAUUACUGGGCGUAAAGCGUGCGCAGGCGGUUGUGCAAGACAGAUGUGAAAUCCCCGGGCUUAACCUGGGAACUGCAUUUGUGACUGCACAGCUAGAGUGCGGCAGAGGGGGAUGGAAUUCCGCGUGUAGCAGUGAAAUGCGUAGAUAUGCGGAGGAACACCAAUGGCGAAGGCAAUCCCCUGGGCCUGCACUGACGCUCAUGCACGAAAGCGUGGGGAGCAAACAGG